CCUACGGGGGGCAGCAGUGGGGAAUAUUGCACAAUGGGGGAAACCCUGAUGCAGCGACGCCGCGUGCGUGAGGACGUAUUUCGGUAUGUAAAGCUCUAUCAGCAGGGAAGAAAAUGCAGGUACCUGACUAAGACGCCCCGGCUAACUACGUGCCAGCAGCCGCGGUACGACGUAGGGGGCAAGCGUUAUCCGGAUUUACUGGGUGUAAAGGGAGCGUAGACGGUUAAUCAAGUCAGAAGUGAAAACCCAGGGCUCAACUUUGGGACUGCUUUUGAAACUGAGUAGCUAGAGUGCAGGAGAGGUAAGCGGAAUGCCUAGUGUAGCGGUGAAAUGCGUAGAUAUUAGGCGGAACACCAGUGGCGAAGGCGGCUUACUGGACUGUAACUGACGUUGAGGCUCGAAAGCGUGGGAAGCAAACAGGAUUAGAUACCCGGGUAGUC
rnacentral:rRNA from 1 species